rnacentral:lncRNA from 1 species
AGUAUGAUGCUGACACAGCCAGGAAAGGUUGACAUCUCUGUCAGCCCACUACCUGACCCUCUUCCCGGGAGCCUGCAGGCUCAGCGGCACUCCGGAAGUCCCGCUGCGCCGCAGGUGUCCGCGCGGGUCUCCUCGCGCAGCGACCCCCGCAGCUGCGCUCUUGGCCACAACAGCAGCUUUGGAAACGCGCGAGGAGGGAAGAGCAGCACCACCGAGGAGGCAGCGCCCGCCCGGAUACCGCGGCUGCGAGGCCCCGAACCAAGGCUGCCACCUGCGGCAUCGUGCCCCUCUGGGCCUACACUGUGUUUCUGGCAUUGUUAUGAAUAUCUUAAGUGCCUGCUUUGCUGCACUUGGUGCAGUUGCCUUAAUCAUUGCGUGUGCAAGUUUUCAGUCAGAAGAAGAUUACACUUGGACACAGAACUGAUCAUUGCAAGUAUAACUAUCCACUGGAUUGUGCAAGCAUUGCAGUAUCAAGAAUACGGCGACGAGAGUUCCUCACUAUCAGAAUUCUCCAUCUCUUCAUAAUUUGCAAAGAACCGGUGUGACUCUAGUCAAGAGCAAAAGAUGAAUCGUGAAUUAGUGAAGAACUCCGUAAUUUUUUUCAAGAGGCCUGAUGGAGAAUGCAUUUUAAUGAAGUCCUUUCUAG